AAAAAGGGCUUCUGCCGUGCGUGGCACGGGGGGGCUCCGGCCGCCCCCGCGGAAUCGACAUCAAGAGAUUUCGGGAGCACAAUUUUUGCGCGCGGGGCCUGCCGGUAACCGCCCGUUCCGGCGCCCCU
rnacentral:snRNA from 1 species